rnacentral:rRNA from 1 species
AGUGAACGCUGGCGGUAGGCCUAACACAUGCAAGUCGAACGGCAGCACAGUAAGAGCUUGCUCUUACGGGUGGCGAGUGGCGGACGGGUGAGGAAUGCAUCGGAAUCUACUUUUUCGUGGGGGAUAACGUAGGGAAACUUACGCUAAUACCGCAUACGACCUACGGGUGAAAGCAGGGGAUCUUCGGACCUUGCGCGAUUGAAUGAGCCGAUGUCGGAUUAGCUAGUUGGCGGGGUAAAGGCCCACCAAGGCGACGAUCCGUAGCUGGUCUGAGAGGAUGAUCAGCCACACUGGAACUGAGACACGGUCCAGACUCCUACGGGAGGCAGCAGUGGGGAAUAUUGGACAAAGGGCGCAAGCCUGAUCCAGCCAUACCGCGUGGGUGAAGAAGGCCUUCGGGUUGUAAAGCCCUUUUGUUGGGAAAGAAAAGCAGCAGGUUAAUACCCCGCUGUUUUGACGGUACCCAAAGAAUAAGCACCGGCUAACUUCGUG